rnacentral:lncRNA from 1 species
AUCCCUUUCCCAGUUCUGGGCUGCUCCCUGUGGCCAGAGAAGGUGGCCUUGAAGGUGUUGGGUAAAGACCACCUGCCCAGCUCUCCAGGCUUGCUAAUGCGGGGGAAGGAGAUGCAGCCCAAGGAUCCUGAAGCUCUUGCAUCAAGUAGCUAUACUCCACCCAGAGCUGCCGGCCACGGGUCCAGCGAAAGAAAACUGUCAGGACCACCACUGCUGCUGCCACCAACCCCUCCCCGGCAAUAGAGGUGGAAUAGAGAUGACCUGCCCCCACCUGCUAAGCUUCCCUGCCUAUCUCCUGAGGGAUUCCUGGGCAACAUGGAUAAGAAGAACACCAGUAGAACAUCAGAAUCCAGGAGACUAAAACAGCUGCUUGGGAAGAUAAAGAAGACA